GCAGCGUCCCCGGGCGGGCCCCGCCGCCCGCCAGCCCCCAGCGCUCGCCGCAGGCCCCGCGGGGACACGGGGGACACGGGGGACACGGGGGACACGGGGGACACGGUGGCACUGCCACCCCCGGCGCAGGCUCCGACGCCCCCGCCCACCUUUAACCCGGAGGGGGGGGACGGGCUGGAAUUUCCCUCCCCUCCCCCAGACCCCCGGAAGAUUUUCCAGGGAAUUCCGGCCGGGAAUUCCCCCCGGACGGCCGGACAGACGGACAAAUGCACUUUGUUGGGAAUUCCCCUUUUUCCCCCCAAAAUCCCCUAUAAAUAUGUACGUACUGCCCCCCCCCGCUGUAAAUACCCCCGGGUGUCCCCCCCGUCCCCUCCCGGUGACAAUCGGGGGUGACAUGGUGACAAUCGGGGGGUGGCACCCCCGCAGUCCCGGGAUCCCCCCCCAAACCCAGGUUUGCCCCCAGAAUCCCGGAUUUGCCCCAAAUCCCGGGUUUUGCCCCCAGAUCCCGGGUCCAAUAUAAAUAUUAUAAAUACAGAGCCCGGGGGGCGCUGGAAGCUGGGAAGGA